rnacentral:rRNA from 1 species
GUACGGCGAGUGACCGGGAAGAGCUCAAAUUUGAAAUCUGGCGUGCUCAGUGCGUCCGAGUUGUAAUCUAUAGAGUCGUUUUCCGUGCCGGACUGUGUCCAAGUCCCUUGGAACAGGGUAUCAAAGAGGGUGAUAAUCCCGUACUUGACACAAUGACCGGUGCUCUGUGAUACGUCUUCUACGAGUCGAGUUGUUUGGGAAUGCAGCUCAAAAUGGGUGGUGAGUUCCAUCUAAAGCUAAAUAUUGGCGAGAGACCGAUAGCGAACAAGUACCGUGAGGGAAAGAUGAAAAGCACUUUGGAAAGAGAGUUAAACAGUACGUGAAAUUGUUAAAAGGGAAACGAUUGAAGUCAGUCGUGACUGAGAGGCUCAGCCGGUUCUGCCGGUGUAUUCCCCUCAGUCGGGUCAACAUCAGUUUUGUUCGGUGGAUAAGGGCAGUUGGAAGGUGGCACCCUCGGGUGUGUUAUAGCCAGCUGUCGCAUACAUCGGAUGAGACUGAGGAAUGCAGCUCGCCUUUAUGGCCGGGGUUCGCCCACGUUCGAGCU